GUUGACCUCGGAUCAGGUAGGAGUACCCGCUGAACUUAAGCAUAUCAAUAAGCGGAGGAA
rnacentral:rRNA from 1 species